GAGGAGGGUACCCCGCCGGAAGCCCCCUGCUCUGUGGGAACCGGAGGGAGGACAGCGCGAGGUCCCCGGACAAAGCGUGGCGCAUAAGUCCGGCCCGUAACUUGGUGGGCAGGCAACUUAGGGGAUGUGGGCCUGGUUAUAGCUGAGCAUGCUUUUCUAUUCCUCCCAGACCACAGUUCUUCAGACCUGGAGCCACUUUCAGAGAAGAGUAUAAGUUGCACUGAAUUGAAAAAGGGAAAAGUUUAGGACUGCAGAAGAUGGAAUUCCUGGGGACGUUAAACUGGGCUAAGAUGGAGCAGAUAAGAUUUCCUUAAUUAGAGCAAGACACACCUAGUAUCUAGAGCCUGGAAGUCUUGGUCAAGGAUUCUCCCUAACAUCUCAGUUUCUCAGCACUAACAUUCCUGCUACUAAAAUGAAGUGAGAAAUUAAUUUCUGAAGUUAAGUAAAGAAAUAAACUAAAAUUCCUAGAAAAGAGGUAAGAAGAAUGAGCCUUUGAAAAAUGUCUUCACAAAGACUGGCAUGAUGGCAUGGAAGAAAGAGCCCCAGAUAUCCAGUAUACAUCUCAAGGUCAACUUGUCCAAAACAGAGCUACUGAUGAUUUUCCCCUUGAAAUCUACUCUUCCUACAGCUUAUUCAUCUCAAAUAACACAUUCACUCUCAUGGCUUCAACUAGGCGGAAUGUGACUGACCAACAGUGUGGCUCAUCCUUGUGGAGGAGAACAGAUGCCAAUUAAUUUGACAUGACCAUAUCCAACCCAGGAAGUGGGUGGGAGGCUGGAGUACAGUGGCAUGAUCAUAUCUCACUGCAACUUCU
rnacentral:lncRNA from 1 species